CCGAGUCCUCAAGGGACGCGCCACACCACCUCUCCGCAGACCCCGAGUCCCCGCCCCCAUGGCUUCGCCGGGACCCCGCGCCUUACGGGCUGCGCUGUGUGGCAGCUGCUGCUGCUUCCUCCUGUGUGCCCAGCUCGCUGUAGCUGGUAAAGGAGCUCGAGGCUUUGGGCGGGGAGCUCUGCUCCGCAUGAACAUCUGGCCAGCUGUCGAAGGGGCUUGCAAACAACUGAAGCUCUGUGAGCACUGUGUGGAGGGGGACAGAGCACACAACCUCUCUGGCUGUGUGUGGGAGCAAUGUCAGCCAGAGCAGCCAGGACACUGUGUGGCCCAAGCUGAGGAGGUCAAGGAAGGUUGCUCUGUCUACAACCACUCAGAGUCAUGUCCAGCUGCCCACCACCAUCCCACCUAUGAACCGAAGACAAUCACAACCGGGAUCCCCUCUGUGCCUGGAGCCCACAACCCUGGCUUUGAUGGGGCCAGCUUCAUUGGCGGCGUUGUGCUGGUGCUAAGCCUACAGGCAGUGGCCUUCUUCAUCUUGCGCUUCCUCAAGGCCAAGGACAGCACCUACCAGACACUCAGGGAGGAGAACCAGUAGGUGAUGGCCAGGCCAGACUUUGGCCUGCAGCUCUGGCCGCGGGCAGGACCUUGGCCAUAAUCUGACCCCCUUCAGGCCUGGAUUCCACACUGAGGGAAGGAGGAUGAAGAGGCUUCUCUCUUGCCCCUCUUGUGAGCACUGGGGGUGGGAAAAACUUUGGCCACCAAUUUCUGUCCCCUACAAGCACCGAGCAGUCUCAGGGCUCAGUACUGACAUCCCCUCCUGUCCUGGGCCUGGUACCUGCAGCUGACAGCAUCCUUCAACUACCUCCUGCCUCAUCUGUCAUCCCUGUCAGCCUCCUGCUUGGCACUGGGUCUGUGCCUGCCUCUUCCCACUGACCUGGCCUGGGCACUGCCUCUAAAUAAAGGAGCUCUUUCCAACA